rnacentral:rRNA from 1 species
UACGAAGGGGGCUAGCGUUGCUCGGAAUUACUGGGCGUAAAGCGCACGUAGGCGGCUUUCUAAGUCAGGGUGAAAUCCUGGAGCUCAACUCCAGAACUGCCUUUGAUACUGGAGAGCUUGAGUCCGGGAGAGGUGAGUGGAACUCCGAGUGUAGAGGUGAAAUUCGUAGAUAUUCGGAAGAACACCAGUGGCGAAGGCGGCUCACUGGCCCGGUACUGACGCUGAUGUGCGAAAGCGUGGGGAGCAAACAGG